ensembl:lncRNA
CUCUGGUCUCGGUCGCUCGCCGCUGCGCCUUUCCUGCGGGCAGCGCCCGGGCUCCGGUCGCGUGCUUCCCGGCCUCGGAGACCUGUCCACCUGGCGCUGUAGCAAGCUCCAGCUCAGAUCAUCAGAUAUUUGAUCCCAGAGGUUGGGGACCCCUGCUGGACACCACUGGCCCACGGAAAACCAGAAGCUAUACUUUGGGCUCCCUGGUUCCCCCAUUUCUCCUCGUAAGGCCCUUGCAGAGAGAUUGAGAAUAGCAGCAGGCUUCACUCCUUGCCUGGAACAUGGCUGAUCUCUGCUACAAAGCCAUGAGGCCCCCACUGUGCUGACUUAUCAUUACAGCGCAUACGUUCAUCCCAUCAUUGCUCCAUGUAAAUGCAUGGGUAAGCACCCUUACCGGCGAUGCCUAGAGGCACAGUCUUAUACAUGUGUCUUUGUGUGCAAGGGCGGGAGUGUCUCUAGGAUGCUGCUGGGGCAUCAGGAGUCUGCAGUGACAUGGCCAC